GAUGAACGCUAGCGGGAGGCCUAACACAUGCAAGCCGAGCGGUAGAGUCUCUUCGGAGACUUGAGAGCGGCGCACGGGUGCGGAACACGUGUGCAACCUGCCUUUAUCUGGGGGAUAGCCUUUCGAAGGGAAGAUUAAUACCCCAUAAUAUACUGGAUGGCAUCAUCUGGUAUUGAAAACUCCGGUGGAUAGAGAUGGGCACGCGCAAGAUUAGAUAGUUGGUGAGGUAACGGCUCACCAAGUCAGCGAUCUUUAGGGGGCCUGAGAGGGUGAUCCCCCACACUGGUACUGAGACACGGACCAGACUCCUACGGGAGGCAGCAGUGAGGAAUAGUGGACAAUGGGUGAGAGCCUGAUCCAGCCAUCCCGCGUGAAGGACGACGGCCCUAUGGGUUGUAAACUUCUUUUGUAUAGGGAUAAACCUAGAUACGUGUAUCUAGCUGAAGGUACUAUACGAAUAAGCACCGGCUAACUCCGUG
rnacentral:rRNA from 1 species